UGGGGAAUAUUGGACAAUGGGCGAAAGCCUGAUCCAGCCAUGCCGCGUGUGUGAAGAAGGUCUUCGGAUUGUAAAGCACUUUAAGUUGGGAGGAAGGGCAUUAACCUAAUACGUUAGUGUUUUGACGUUACCGACGGAAUAAGCACCGGCUAACUCUGUGCCAGCAGCCGCGGUAAUACAGAGGGUGCAAGCGUUAAUCGGAAUUACUGGGCGUAAAGCGCGCGUAGGUGGUUUGUUAAGUUGGAUGUGAAAUCCCCGGGCUCAACCUGGGAACUGCAUUCAAAACUGACUGACUAGAGUAUGGUAGAGGGUGGUGGAAUUUCCUGUGUAGCGGUGAAAUGCGUAGAUAUAGGAAGGAACACCAGUGGCGAAGGCGACCACCUGGACUAAUACUGACACUGAGGUGCGAAAGCGUGGGGAGCAAACA
rnacentral:rRNA from 1 species